rnacentral:ncRNA from 1 species
AAAUAUAAACAUGCAAGUUUCCCCUCCCCUGUGAAAACCCCCUUUCACCCCCCUUAGGGACAAGGAGCCGGUAUCAGGCACAAUGUAUGCCCAAAACACCUAGCUUUGCCACACCCACAAGGGAUUUCAGCAGUGAUUAACAUUGAAUAUUAGCGCAAGCUUGAUUCAGUUAAAGUAAANCAGAGCCGGCCAAUCUGGUGCCAGCCGCCGCGGUUACACCAUGUGGCUCAAAUUGACCCCNAUUCCGGCGUAAAGCGUGAUUAAAGUUAUUNACCCAAUAGAGUUAAAUUAAAACUAAGCUGUGACACGCUUGUUUUUNAAGAAAUUCUCAAACGAAAGUUACUCUAAUUUAACCAACUUGAAUUCACGACAGCUGGAAAACAAACUGGGAUUAGAUACCCCACUAUGCCCAGCCGUAAACUUUUAUUUACACCUNCAAUCGCCAGGGAACUACGAGCUAAGCUUAAAACCCAAAGGACUUGACGGUACCCCAUAUCCCCCUAGAGGAGCCUGUCCUGUAAUCGAUAAUCCACGUUUAACCUCACCAUUUCUAGUUAAUCAGCCUGUAUACCUCCGUCGUCAGCUUACCACGUGAGCGCUUAUUAGUGAGCUCAAUGUCUUUCACCAACACGUCAGGUCAAGGUGCAGUAAAUGAAAUGGAAAGAGAUGGGCUACACUUUUUAUUAUAGAAAAUACGAAAAACUACCUAUGAAACCUAGUUGGAAAGCGGAUUUAGCAGUAAAAAGGAAUCAGAAUAUCCNUUUUAAUUUGCCACUGGGGGGGGUACACCCCGCCCGUCCCCCUCUUCAAAAUUUUAACCANGUAUUAAACAAANUAAAAUAUAACANAAGAGGCUAGUCNGUACAUGUAGUAUACCGG